CAUCGAAUUCCCCGUCGAAUUCCCUCCCUCGCGAUACGCUCUGCGCCCGCUUCUCCCGAGUCCCAAAAUUUUUGCGGUCCGACCGUAAUUUUUUUUGGUGGGGCAUUUACCCCGCCACUCGGGCGACGUUGGACAAAGCCCUGAUCCCUGCACACAAAAACACCAAACCCUCUUGGCGCGCAUCAUCACGUGGUUCACGACAGACGCUAACCGGUCCAACAAUAGGAAGCCGCUGAGCUCGGUAAGGGUUCCUUCAAGUACGCCUGGGUCCUUGACAAGCUCAAGGCCGAGCGUGAGCGUGGUAUCAC
rnacentral:misc_RNA from 1 species